rnacentral:lncRNA from 1 species
CGCAAGGGUAGGUUACUCCGCUCACUUGUAGCAUGCGGCGGAAGGAUACACAUAGCAACUUCCACCCAGCCGUGACUGGCGUCAAAACCGAAGAGGUCAACUUUAGUUGCUGCUUUGACUUUGACGAGUUAACAUGUCAUUUUUACUCCGUCGCAGUGUUCGUUAGCCACAUGUAGCAAGAGGCUAAUAUUUAACCGUGGCAAAUCAUCAUUUGCACAAGGCAUUAAUUCCCCGUCGUGUUACAGUUUGCAGGGGUAAAGAAAACGCACCAUAACCCUUUUUGGCGAGUAAGGGCGUCUGAUUAUUAGUAAGUAUUAAACCCUUUUUUUGCAUGCAUUUUGGUACACAAUAAUGUAAUUAUUGGCGAACCUUCGGUAUAGGUACACACGUGACUUUGUGUACAUUUCUGAAGAUAACAGAAACCCUUUUCUCCUAACCCUAAACCCCCCAUAUAUAAAAAAAAAACCUUUCUUGAAAUAUAUCCGGUACCUAUACCGAAGUUACGCCUAAUUAUUAUCUUUGUUUCGUAUCAGAGCUGUUAUCCAUUCCUUAAAUAAAUCUCUGGAUUCCGUUGACCCCUCCCCAUCGUGUUUCAAUUUGCAAGGGUAAAGAAAACGCACAACCCGUUUUCGGCGUGUCCCUAAACACCAGGUGUGCGUAUUCUUUACCUUCGGCGUGAAAGCUUCACAUUAAUGGCGGUGCCCCAGCAUGGCCACAGCUCGUGAGCUGAAACUAGAUAAAAUAUAUAUAUAUGUAUAUUUGUUUGAGAGAAGGUGAUAGUUUUGUUAAGGAUUUAAUGUCCAGGAGUUGCUAUUAUAAUUACUGUAUCUCAUUCAUUUAUAAUUUAUCAAAACAAUUGUAAAUUUGGGUACUAUUUAAGAAGCGUGGUCCCGGUACGCGCAUCUGCGCGCACCGUGACUACUCUUAUUGAUUGGUACCGUAAAUUUGUACCUUUUAGUAUCUACCUUUUAAACUUUUUUUUUUUUAAUAUUAUUUUCGUAUUCUUUCAGAAAAUCACAUGAAAUUGGCUAAAAAGUAUUUUUUACUUGUAAAGAAUCAUCAAUAUGUAUCAUGUUUGAAAGACUCUGCAAAGAUAUUCUACAAACGUAAAACAUUGCUGAGUUACAGUAAAAUAUUUCCUCUGAUAGAAAGAAAAAAACAUUGCUUUAUUUCACUGAAUGAAAUGUGCAAGAGGUAAUUUAAAUCUCUUCAAUUUGGUUCACAGAUUUUUUUCAUUAUAUUUUUUAACUGAACCGUUUGAAACUUCAUAUACUGGUGUAAUUUCUCACGCUGAACACUGUCAACAUUUUUCACAACGUUUCGUAUUUUAGAAUUUAUUUCAAGUUGUCGCAUUUGGAUUAUUCUAACCAAAUCGACAAAUACCUGAAGAUACCUUCUACUGUUUGUGAAAGUAACCAAAGAACAACAGAACCACGUGUACAUUAGAAUUUAUUCCAUGUUGUCGCAUGAAGGAUCCUAUUGUUUGCGAUAGUAAUCUAGGGGCAACACGACCACGUGUACAUUAAUUAUUCUGGUGUGUUCUUUAACUUGACUGUAUUUUUUUAAACUUAUCUGUGGAUAUUUUUACUCACUACCUGUAAUUAUUUCCAACACUGUUCUAUUUAAUUUUUUUACGCUUUUUUUCCCUCAUUUUUUCUUGCUUUUUGAUCACCCUUUUUGUACAUUUUCCCGUGUUAAUUUUGUGAUUAUUCCCCCCAAUCUGCUAAUAUUUUAUUUCUGUUUGCUGUCUGUGUUACAUACUACGUUUUUUUUUUUUUCGAUCGCCUCUUUUGCACAUUUGCAUUUUCCCCCACAGUUGUAUUGGGGAAGUAUGGCUGUGGCUGCAACUAAAUCGUAUGGCCUCAUGGAUUUGUACAACACGAUUAGGACCGAAGUGGAUGCGGUAGCUUUCCUUACGGAGAAGGGUAUAAUACCUCCGAAGAAAAAAUUGUAGAGUUCAACAUUUCAUGAAACAGAAAGUGGGCGGGGGGGAGGGUUCGCUGGCGCUGCGCACGGAAAGGCUGUGACCAGUCUGUAUCUGUUAGGAAAGGUACAUGGCUGGAAGGCACCACGCUUCCUCUGCGAACUAUCCUCCUUUUCUUAUAUUCUUGGGUCAAGAAGCUGACCACAAUACGUUAUUGUUAUGAAGAGCUGGGUGUGAGUCACAGUUCAGCUGUGUAAGAGAAGUCUGUGCAGAGGACUUACUCCUCAACCUAGUUCAGAUAGGUGGUCCUGGGAAGAUUGUCGAGAUAGAAGAGACAGUCUUCUCGAGGAGGAAACGUAGACGUGGUGGUCGGCCGCCCCACCAGUGGGUCUAUAAAGGAGUGUGUCGCAAGGCCAAGCAAGUUUUUCUCUAUGCAGUAACAUGUCGGGAUCGCGACACACUCGAAGAAUGCAUCUGCCAUUCGGUUCUCCCCGGAACCACGGUCGUUAGUGAUCUGUGGAGAUCUAACUCUCAUAUUCCAGAGAUCGAGGGUUAUCAAUUUCUCCAUAAAGUGGCGAAGCAUGGCGCUCAGUCUAAGUCAGUCGCCACGGAUGGAAGGCCCUUGGGCCUGUGUUAAGCAGAGUUCUAUGAUUGACUCUGGUCUCUGUGAAAUUAUGUGGUGCAGAAAGUACAAAGGUUGCGAUCUUUUCGAAAAACUGAUAGAGGGGAUUGCAAGAUUUUAAAAUCUUGAUUGUAUAUAUUCUUGGAGGGC